CAGUCAUAUUAGCAGUACAUAAUUUCAACCAUAAUGAGAAACCUAAAUCUAACAAUUGGUUUACCCAAACAUAUUCAUGAGAGACAAAGUCAUGAUGGUGUGAAAUAAACUCAAAUGAAACAUAAAACACAAAUAGAUAGAGUAAUAGAAAUAAAGGAGUUCAAGAUCUUCUCUGUUUUGCAGUGUCAGAUCUAUCUCUCCAAUCCUAAGCUCUCCAAAUGGUAGUCAAAAUGCUCAUUUUCCAGAACUAGGUCUUUUGCAAGUGUCUGCCUAGAAAUGAUACAAAACCCUAGUACAUAUAGCCUAACAGGCGGCCAGGGACUUAAGUUGUAAAUAAUAAAUCUUCUGGGAAAUGAAAUCUUUUAAUUUGCGAUUUCAUCCGUGUGACUGCGUAUCGAUCGAUGCACAUAUAUGUAUGUCGAUCGAUGGUAAGUGAUUACGAUCGACCGAUGUGCUCUUCAAGCGUCGAUCGAUUUUCCUUGCGCAAAAACAUUCCAAAAUGUCCCAAAAGUAUCAUUUCCUUCCAUCAGGUGAAUAAACCUGUAUUUGCUUUGAAAAGACUCUAAAACAUGAUUAAUACAUCUUAAAACCUUUAUAUACCAUGUAUAAAAACGGGUGAAAAUCAUGGUAUAUCAGCUGGUAAGACAACCCCAGCCACCACUGCGCCUAUGGCCAACGCAUAAGCAAACGCUAUAGUGCCUGAAAAAAUUAAAAAACCUAGCCGCGACUUUUCGCCACAGGAAGUGCUACUAAACGAGCUCGCGAUUUCUUUGUCUAAACAUAAAGUAAAACGAUAAAUUUUAUCAAAUCCCGUAAGUUUGGCUCAAUUUCAAGCUAAAGAAGUCUCCAAUCGUAAGGUUUUUACCAAAACACGUUUUCCGAAAACUUUUCGGAAAGGUAAAACUUGUUCUCCUAAAAACCACAGAAAACCCCUAAGUUAAUCGCAGAAAAAGAAAGCGCAGCAAAUCGAUUACACAGCUCGAUCGUUACGUAGCCACUGAGCACGCACACGUAGCGACCGAGCACGCACACAUAACGACCGAGCUCAAGCCAAGCUCUGUCUCUACGUAGCGGCCGAGCACGCACACAGCUCAGUCGCUACGUAGCCACCGAGCACGCACACGGCUUGGUCGCUACGUAGCGACUAAGCUCAAGCCAAACUCGGUCGCUACUUAGCAACCGAGCUCAAGCCAAUUUUGGUCGCUACGUAGCGACCAAGCACGCACACAGCUCGAUCGGUACGUAGCGACCUAACACGCACACGGCUCGGUCUACGUAGCGACCGAGCUCAAGCCAACUCUCCACUCGCUACAUAGCAACCUGUCAGACCUCCAACUCGCUAUGUAGCGACCUGUCAGGCCUCAAAAAGAUUCUCCUAUGCAUUCUCUUUUGAAUCCCAAUCGAAUCACUUUUUCGUUUCGUCUUAUUUGGAAUUUCCAUUGAGAUUUUACGACGAAAACAAGUUAGACUCGUCUAAACUUCUUGGCUUGCUCCUACUCGCUACAUAGCGACCUGUCAGACCUCCAACUCACUACGUAGCGACCUGUCAGGCCUCAAAAGGGUCCUCCUUUGGGUUCUCUUUUGAAUCCUCAUCGAAACGCUUUUCGUUUCGUCUCAAUUGGAAUUUCUGGUGAGAUUUUACGACAAAAACAAGUUAGACUCGUCUAAACUCCUUGGCUUGCUCGCCCUUACCUCCAUCUUUGCGUUCUCCUACGAAUCUAGAUCGAAACUAAUGUGUCAUGAGAAUCCUCUGAAUAAACCUAUGAAAAACGUUUUGCGACUAGAUCGUAAUGAAAUAAACUUCGGUAAAACUCCAUGAGUAACUCCAAGCAACUUUCACCUAAGAUCGAAAUCACAAUAGAAAAGUUAUUCGUAAAACCCGCAGAAACAACGCUACUUUGACAUAUAUAUAUACAUAUCACCGAUUUACAACCUUUGUAAAACCGGUACCCAUUACUUACGCAAAAAAUCCUUCGUACAAUUAGACCAAGUCUUACGUAGAAACUUUCUAAAGUUAACAUAACAGGCUUUAUGAAGAACCCUGCGGCUCACUGGCUUCUGCCUUUCUUUUCCCUGGGUCACAUCCGAGAAGGCAGUCAUCCCGCCGCUGACUCCACACUGGUUAUGUAGCAAACCUCUUGGGCUUCGUCUUCCUCAGACAAAAAAGACUCGAUUUUCAUAAGACUAUAGGUCACAUUAUACGAAAUAUUCGUCGUAUAACUGAAACCUAGAGCGGAGAAUCGUUUUCUACGACUAUCAGCCAUAUUAGCAUGGAUAACCCUGGAAAACUUGGCCUAUCAAUCUCGACAAGCGCUCUUUGGCCCUCGGUUAAUUACGCCUUGCAGUUAAAAUCCGAACCAGAAUUUGACUUCCCCUUAAGACAAUCGUAAACUAACACGACCUUAAUGUUAACACGAAAGUACCAUGGUCGGAUGCAUGACCUACAAUGUCUUUGGCUAUCUGAGUGAAAACAUCCUUCACGCCAAGCCAAAGUAUUUGAGAAACCUUCGCUCCAUCACUUAACGGCUAAACGACUAUCCGCGAUUUGGCUAAAAAAGUCAUGUGACUAUCAAGAAAAUAAUUAUCGUAUAACCCAUAGUCGGAAUUCAUAUGAUAAAUCCUUCAUAACAAAACUCAGUCCUAACAACCAAACAAUUAACGGAAAACCAAAACUUGUCGACAAUCGACCAAGUUCAAUAAGUUCCACCGAUAACUUUAUAGCCCGCUAUGUUUUACCCGUAAAGUGCGGCAUGCAAGGAAAACUCGUAACAGAGCUCCUAGAGCUAUACGAAACAUCCUCAAAUGCACGAAAUAAAAUCUCGGAGGGCCGACUCUUCACAAAGCACAGUAAAGAAAAACGCUUCUUCCCAGGGACAAAUCUACGCGACCCCUUGAUCCUAAUCCCUCAAUCAUAAAUCAGACUACUUAACAUCAAAAGUGGAACAGCAAUUUUGGCUGCGAACAUCCGCAGAUAAACCAAGACGUUUCACCAACGCAGGGUUAAGACCAAACCUUUGCAACACCGGAACACCUUCAAGCCCGCAAAUAUUUCAAGCACGAAACGCGGCGUACAAAAUAAUAACAAAUCUUCAGCAACGCGAGAUGUCGCAGAUGCCUGAAGAUUCGUUCUUCGACGAAAUAUUCUUCCUCGAUAAAAACACCUUCUUGGAAGACCAGAAAGUCAUACACACUAACAUCUUCUCAAAACGUAUCCUUCGCGAAGGAUAAUAGCGCUAUAAAAGAAACCCAAAAUUUUUGGUCAGCACUUCCAGGAGGCUUAAAAAUUAUCCUUGGAGAGAUGCUCGGUUCCAACCAUACAAGUCGUAUAAGCCGAGAACCUAUCGCGGACUUUAAAUCGGUAUGGAAUCAGGAUGAAACUGAAACGGGAUACGUAAGUCGAAUUAGUCAUUGCAGUUCUAAAACGAGGAGUAAACCUAGGUCUUGCCCUAAACCCAACAUGCUGGUCUCUAACAUCUCAACGCAUGAUAUCCAAAAGUGAUAACGAGAUCUUAAAUCAUGUCCCUUCGUCAAUAAUCUAAUUCUCUCGAAAAUAUUUGAAACAUCAAAUUCUUCGAACAAUGCCAUCUAGAAUGAGCAGAAAAUACGACGAUUCAACAAAAGAGUUAGAUACGAGCUGACAACUCGUAUUGUUCCCUCUACAUUCGCACAAAUACAAACUUGAUCUUCAAAAAAAAAAACCGCAAAGCGACAUGGAUUUGAAGCCGCAUGGCUCAGUCCUGAAAACGUAAAUACGGCCAAACUCGGCCAAAGCAAAUAGCCUUCAAGACUAAUCUCGUGGCCGACAAAGAUCCACUACAAAAUGCCAUCAACGAUGACAUAGCUAAACCGUAAAUGUCUCACUGGAAAACAGAUUGUAAGCAUCUUAACUCCAAAACGAACUACGAAAGGCUUGAUCCCUUCGACAAGGGUAAGUAGGCAGCCUUCAUAAGGCGUAGCCC